rnacentral:rRNA from 1 species
CCUGGUAGCGGGGGGUAACUAAUUGGAAACGAAUAGCUAAUACCGCAUGAAAUGGAUUAUCGCAUGAUAAUCGAUUGAAAGGUGCAAAUGCAUCACUACCAGAUGGACCUGCGUUGUAUUAGCUAGUUGGUGAGGUAACGGCUCACCAAGGCAACGAUACAUAGCCGACCUGAGAGGGUGAUCGGCCACACUGGGACUGAGACACGGCCCAG